GCUAUACAUGCAGUCGUAACANNGGUAGCCNGUACCAUAGUGGCGCACGGGUGCGUAACGCGUAACCAACCUACCCGAAUCUGGGGGAUAGCCCGCCGAAAGGCGGAUUAAUACCGCAUAAAACAACAGAACGGCAUCGUUCAAUUGUUAAAGAUUUAUUGGAUUCGGAUGGGGUUGCGUGCCAUUAGCUAGUUGGGGNGGUAACGGCCCACCAAGGCGACGAUGGCUAGGGGAGCUGAGAGGCUGGUCCCCCACACGGGCACUGAGAUACGGGCCCGACUCCUACGGGAGGCAGCAGUAGGGAAUAUUGGGCAAUGGGCGAGAGCCUGACCCAGCCAUGCCGCGUGCAGGAUGAAGGCUUUCUGAGUCGUAAACUGCUUUUGCCAGGGAAGAAAAAAGGGCGUGCGCGCUCUACUGACGGUACCUGGUGAAUAAGCACCGGCUAACUCCGUGCCAGCAGCCGCGGUAAUACGGAGGGUGCAAGCGUUGUCCGGAUUUAUUGGGUUUAAAGGGUGCGUAGGCGG
rnacentral:rRNA from 2 species